GCACGCGGCGGACAGGGACUAGGGGUGCACGUGCGUAUAUAAGCACCUGGGGAGGGGGACAGAAGCUGAGGAGGUGUGCACCUGUGCAUGUACACGGGUGUGUGCGCAUCCGGGGAAUGGGGGGUAGGAGUGUGUAUACACGUGUGGGCACAUGAGGAACAGGGGCAAAGUGUGCAGGAUGCAGAAAUUGCCAGGCAGGGGAUUGAACCCACACCACAGCCGCAACCCGAGCCACUGCGGUGACAACACAAAUCCUUAAGCUGCUGAGCCACAGGACUCCAGGAUCAGUCAAUCUUAAGGACUCACAUGACUACUUACAGGCUGAAGCCACAGUCCUUUGAGAAGCUCCCCUUGGACCCGACAGCUUCUAGAAGAUCACGGCACCCAGUCUCCCCAGAUGUCUCCUUCCGGCCUCGUUUGCUACUUGAGCGCCCGUCUCUGCUCUUCCUCCGAAACGCCCACCUUGGCCAGGAGAGUAAUUCCUUUCAUCCCCUGACCACCAACCCUGCCGUCCAGCGCGGUGUCCUUCUGGGUGAUUUCAUGUUGCUGAGAUGACAUCGGGCUGUUUUUUAUGGAACCCCACAACGGAAGGUCCGAGGUCCUUCUCCUCGUGUCAUUUCCCUCCUCAGUAGAACCCAUGACCAUCGGCCAGGAGGGAAAGUCCCAGGAGCCAACAGCACGAUUUUGGGAAACUUGAUUUUAUGUUCAACCGAAUGCCUCUGCUCACGUCCCUACUGCUGUCCCCUUACCUCACCGAGUCAGAGAAGGGCCCUGCAGCUUACCCGCUGCAAUGAGGCUGGGGUGACCUCGGGAGGUCAAUGAGCUCGGAUGAGUGAUCUCAGCUCCUCUCUGGCUCAGAUUUCUUUAGCUGAGAAAUAAGAAAAUAAAAAAUAAAGUUCUUUAUAAG
rnacentral:lncRNA from 1 species